UGGUACCCCAACCAUUACCUAUGUGAUUGAAGGAAUUUCAGCAUAGACAGAAGACAUGAUCUGUAGAGCAAAGAGGAAGAAAUCACAUAGGAACACACAGAUCAUUGGGGGAAGGGAGAGAGAGUUCCAUGAAAGUUUGAAGGAGAGGCAGUUGGAUACCCAGCUGCCUGGGAGUUCAUUCUACUUCUGCCUGAAGGUGACCCCUUCAUCUCCUCUCUGGCCAUUAACUUACUACUUCUACUGUGAACUGAAGGAAUAGUCAGGCUUGCCCAGAAGAAGCCCUGUCCUUGAUAGAAAACGAAAGUUUGAUAGGAGCCAAGAUGGAGAAGUAACUAGGGCAGCAGCUGGCCAUUUCACCAGGAAAAUCCUCUCUGAGCAAGAGUAAAAUAUCACCACAAAAAGAAUAUAGUGAAAGAACCAACAGAGACAGAGGGAAACAACCUUCAAAAAAAGAAAAACCCAAAAGGUAGGCAGAGAUCAUCUGGGGAAUUUAGGUGAGAGGGGAGUAGAGCUAGCAGGUGGCAAAGCAAGGAGUGAAGAGCAAACCAAGAGUAAACCACACCUCCACUGCCCCACACAUCUGAUCUCACAGCUUCAGAAGUUAAGCCUAACCUAAUCUAGACCCUGAGAUCCUGCCCUGCAAAAAAAAAAAAAAGUCCAAGCCAACUAAUACCCCUUGAAAUUGCAAACCUGUGGAGAAGGGCAAUGUGGGUCAAUCCACGUAGACACAGAGGGAAGCAAAGAAUCCCACUUUGGGUUUGGGGUGAGGAUACAGUUUAUAAAAGGAGCCACACGGGGAUAUUUUUGCCCCAAACUAAGGAUGGAGCUCCAGGACAGGACAAUCAAGGGUGUGCCUCAUUGAAUCAAGAAAACCUUGAGACCAAAAUUGUGAACUAAAACCUGGGGCUAGAAUAUGAUCAGCACCUGACCUAAUCAAGUUCAGACUGAGAUGAAAAGCUUACACCCAAACCUGAGGAAAGUCUUUAAGAUAUCAACAUCUCAAAAGUCAAUUGAAUCAACAGGGAGAGGAGAUUCUCAGAGCUCUCAGCCCUUGGACCAUCUGGUAAACUAGUAGCAAUCCCCAAAAUAAGCCAAUAAUAACAUCAAGGAAGGACUGAAAUUUAGGAGGGUACUCUAAAACCCCAGAAAACAAAGCCUACCUAUAAUUAUAUAGGAAAAAUGAGCAAUCAAAAAGGCACCUACCUCUAAAGACUUUUUAUGGAGACAAAUAGCAAGGUGCAGACACAGAAAGGGACAGUGAAAGCAAAGAAAACACACUCAAAGAAAAAUAUAGAUUGGGCACAGAUUCUGUAAGAGCUCAAAAAUAUUUCAAAACACAAUUAUUAAAGUUAGAGGAAAAGUGGGGAAGAGAAAUGAAAAUUGCAAGAACAAAUGAAAGUGAUGCAAGAAGAAAUGGGCCAAUUGAAAAAGGAGAAACAAAAACUGACAGAGGAAAACCAUGUCCUAAAAGUCAGAAAUGACCACCUAUAAACCAAUGAUUUAAUGAGAAAUCAAGAAACAAUAAAAUGGAAUCAAAGGAAUGAAAAAACAGGGGAAAAUAUGAAAUAUCUUAUUGAAAAAAAACAACAGACCUAGAAAAUAGAAAGAAGAAAAACAUUUGAUGUAAUGUUUCAAGAAA